AUUGGAGACAAUUAAAAACACUUCUGACCCCGUUUUGAUUUGGAAUCUGCGGGGUUGUGUUGCAGUCUCAACGGCCGCAAACGGAGACCUUUGGCAACUCCGACACUGAUGCCAAUGUUUCGCCGCUUGAUU